AUUGAACGCUGGCGGCAGGCCUAACACAUGCAAGUCGAACGAGUGGCGGACGGGUGAGUUAUAUCUGGGAAACUGCCCGAUGGAGGGGGAUAACUACUGGAAACGGUUGCUACUCCCGACUACCAUCGGAGCUGCCUAGAUGGGAUUAGCUGGUGGGUGGGGUAACGGCUCACCCAGUCGACGAUCCCUAGCUGGUCUGAGAGGAUGACCGGCAACACGGGGACUGAGACACGGUCCAGACUCCUACGGGAGGCAGCAGUGGGGAAUAUUGCACAAUGGGCGCAAGCCUGAUGCAGCCAUGCCGCGUGUAUGAAGAAGGCCUUCGGGUUGUAAAGUACUUUCAGCGAGGAGGCGUUACUCGCAGAAGAAGCAUCGGCUAACUCCGUGCCAGCAGCCGCGGUAAUAC
rnacentral:rRNA from 1 species